CCUACGUGAGGCAGCAGUGAGGAAUAUUGGUCAAUGGACGAGAGUCUGAACCAGCCAAGUAGCGUGAAGGAUGACUGCCCUAUGGGUUGUAAACUUCUUUUAUAUGGGAAUAAAACGUUCCACGUGUGGGAUUUUGUAUGUACCAUAUGAAUUAGGAUCGGCUAACUCCGUGCCAGCAGCCGCGGUAAUACGGAGGAUCCGAGCGUUAUCCGGAUUUAUUGGGUUUAAAGGGAGCGUAGGUGGAUUGUUAAGUCAGUUGGGAAAGUUUGCGGCUCAAACGUAAAAUUGCAGUUGAAACUGGCAAUCUUGAGUACAGUAGAGGUGGGCGGAAUUCGUGGUGUAGCGGUGAAAUGCGUAGAUAUCACGAAGAACACCGAUUGCGAAGGCAGUUCACUGGACUGCAACUGACACUGAGGCUCGAAAGUGUGGGUAUCAAACAGGAUUAGAUACCCCGGUAGUC
rnacentral:rRNA from 1 species